UCGGCUGAGCAGCUCGGUUGGUCGCCUCCACCCGGAAGCUCUGGCAGGGUGGUGGGGAGGCUCGGGAGAGGGGCGGAGUGCGGCGAGGUUUGCGGUUGCCAGGAGCCCGCUGCUCUCUGGCGGGGAACCUGGGUGCGCUGGGCCCGCCAGCAACGUAUCCACGCUCCUUGGCGGCCUCGUAGCAGUAAUAUUUCCUCUGUGUGCAGCACAAUAUUAAGAUGGAGGACUAUGAGAAGUUCUGUGAAAAGCAUCUUGCCAGGAUCCAAGGAGAGUCAAUUCAAAGGGAAACCUCUUCAUCUGCUCAGAAGAAUAUCUCACUUAUUCAAUUCCAUGGCAUUCCUGUGCUUUCACCUCUGCUGAGUCUUGAGAGAAAAAAGGAAAUGCAGCAGGAUAAACAAAAAGCACUUGAUGUAGAGAUCUGGAAGCUGAAUUCCAGGAAAAGAGCUUUACUGAAUCGUGUUCAGGAGAUCCUGGAAAACGUGCAGGUCAGAAAGGUGUCUAGUAUGAGCGAUUUGGAUCAGUGGGAGUCUGAGAGUGGUCACUCUAAUUCAGAAUCAAAAGCCUCAAAUGGCUUCACAAUGCUAUCAAACAUCAAUUUGCCAAGUUCUAUUGCAUGCUGUGGUACUACAGACCUUGAAAAAACAUUGGAAAUUAUGCCAGCAGACACUGCUAUCCAGGUUACAUCAAGUGGAAUAGACUCGGUUAGAAGUACAGAAGAACAUAUUCCUCCUGAACAAAGUGAGAGCAACCUCUCAGAAAACAUUGCUUGCCCAAAGGUUACAUCUCCUGAUAAAACACAAAAUAUGACUACUUCAAACGCACAUGUAAACCAAGAGUAUACGGAGGUGCCACCAGCUGGUGAGGAAGUACCUGAUCCUUAUGUAAUGAGUCUUCAAAACCUUCUGAAAAAGUCUAGGGAGUACAUAGAGAGAGAGCAAACCAGACGUAGCAUAAGAAGUAAUGCAAAAAGAAGUGUUAAUGAAAGUCAUUCAGAUAAAGAAAAUGAUGCAGUUAAAACAAAUGUGUCUGGGAAAGAGAAAGCGAGGUUUACAGGCAGGAGUUGUACUCCUCUGACACUUGAUAAACCAAGUCUUAAUAAAUCAAAUAUUCUUCUCCAGGGUGCCUCUGCCCAAAUAAAUAGCAUGAGUACAUCAGCUUCACCCAGCUUUUCUAAAGUGGAUAUACCUACAAGAGCUGGAACACCCCCAGUUUUGGAUUCGGAUUCAGAUGAAGAAUUUAAAAAUAUCUCUACCUUUGAUCACGACAGUAGUAUUGUCAGAAGCCUUACAGGUUCUUAUGCCAAAUUACCCAGCCCGGAGCCAAGUAUGAGCCCUAAAAUGCACCGAAGACGUCCAAGACCUUCAUCAAUGGGACACAUAGUUAUCAAUAACCCUGUGAAUGCCUAUGAAUUAAGCCCUUUAAACAAGGGAAGAGCAAUUGACUUGAUCAUACAAGAUAUCACUGACCAAACCAAUGCAUCUGAACCUGUGCCAAAAUUCACUGCUGACAUCACUGCAGUUUGUUCUAGCAAAGCUCAUGUUGUCAACAAGAAUUCUUCAGAGACUUCAAAUCACAUGCAUUCCGUUAGUCAACUAGAGAGCAAAGGAAUGAUGGUGUCUUCCAUAAUGGAGGGAAAGCUGGAUGGUAGGCCAUACAAAACGGACAGUACUACUUGUACUGUAACUCCAAAAUUGCAUGAGUCAUAUGCAGUCAGUCAGUCGAUGGUGACUCAAAAGCUCGUAGCUAUGAAUGGAAUCAAGCCAGAUAAUUUAUUAGAAAAGACAAAAAGUAAUUCACCCGUGGAACUCAAUAAAUCUUAUGAUGUAGAAAAUCCAUCUCCAUUACUGAUGCAAAGCCAGAAUAAGCAUCAGCAAAUGGAUACUCCAAAUGUUUCUUCUGGAAAUGAACAUUUUGUAGAAAAUGGUUUUGAAAAAGUGAAACGUAGGCUUGAUUUAGAUAUUGAUAGCUCACAGAAAGAGAACAACCCAUAUGUUUUAACAGAUGGAACAGAAGAACAAGAGAAGUGGAGGUUGCAAGACCGAAGAUGCCCCAUAGGAUCUGUUUAUGGUAACAAGAAUGAAACCUCAGGCAGUGGCACCAACGAAGAAGAGAUUUUGAAAAAUAAACUCUUGGCUUUUGAAGAAAUGAGAAAGAGACUUGAAGAGCAGCAUGCACAACAACUGUCAGUACUGAUAGCUGAACAAGAGAGAGAACAGGAGAGAUUGCAGAAGACUUUUAAUCUGCAGGAGAUAGAAGAGCAGGAGAGAAGGUUAAAAGGAAAGAAGAGUGCUUCAGCAGACACAGAAAUUCCCAAAAUGACCAUUAGCAGUGGGAUGGAACUGGAGUGGAGAAAAAUAAGCGAAAGUGGCUUGAUGGAAACAAUGCUGACUCAAGUGGAGACAAUCCAUAACACAAACUUGAACAGCACUGGUAAAAGUUUUGCCAACACUACCAUGCCCAGUAGUUUUGGUUCAACAAAUGAAGCUCCAUUCUACCUCUGGGGACCAUCUGGUAGUGGAAUGUCAAAAAUAUCAGCAUCCAGGCUUAUUAGGGCCAGAACCAGGUGGUCUCAGGCCUUCAAUCCAGAGAUGCAAAUGAAGUUCAGUAAGAUCACUGCCUUGGCAAAGGGAUUUCUGACUCGUAGGCUCAUGCAAACAGAAAAAUUGAAAUAUCUUAGGCAAACCGUAAAAGAUACUAUGGAGUUCAUAAAAAAUUUUCAGUCUGAAGCUCCCUUAAAGAGAGGAACUGUUUCGGUGCAAGAUGCAUCCCUACAAGAAAGAGUGAUGGCUCAACUGCGAGCUGCGCUGUAUGACAUCCAUGAUAUAUUCUUUAUAAUGGAAGUAUCUGAAAGAAUGAAUAUUCUGCGUCAUGAUCGUGAAGUUCGCAAAGAGAAAAUGCUGAGGCAAAUGGCUAAAAUAAAGACUCCACGAGAGAGGGUGACGCUUUCGACAGCUACACAGAAAUCUAUGGAUAGGAAGAAGUACAUGAAGGCUGCAGAAAUGGGAAUGCCAAAUAAAAAAUUAAUCAUAAAGCAAAAUACUCCUGAAGCAAGAGUACUUCAGCCAAAUCAAGGACAAAAUACUCCAAUUCAUAGGCUUCUUUGCAGGCAAGGAACCCCUAAGACCUCAAUGAAGGGGGUUGAGCAAAAUAGAAAGAAGUCCUCAGAGAGCAGAGUGCCUAACAAGGCAACUUCAGUUAUAGGUGUUUUGGAGUAGCAGGAAAGCAAGGGGAACACUUACUGAGGAAGAAAAUGCUAUAAUGUAUAGUUAUUUACAAGCCUUUUUACAACUCGAAUAACCUGUUUUAUUCAUACAUUUUAAGGAGUAUAUGCAGGAAGAAUCCAAAGAAAGAAGCCAAAUGUUGUGACAAUUUAAGACGUCAGCACUCACUCGGAUAAAAAAAAAAGGCUAUUUUAAUGCAAUAGUCUCUUCAGCAUUGGUUCAGAUCUUGCAUCUCCUAUAUGUAUGCUUUGAAUUGACAAAUGUACACAUUUAACAUAUUUUGCAUAUUUUAAGGACAUAGGUUUUUAUGGAAUGAUGUUAAAGUAAUGAAGAGGGCUACAAAUAAGUUCAGUUCUUCUACUCAUGAAAACAAAUUGCAUGUUACAAACCUGUUGUUCAGAUUACUGCAGACAUAUGUCCACAUUCAAAAUGCUCUGUUGUAGAAAAGAAUAUAGUGCAACAUUGUUUAUUUGUAUCUUUUUGCCAUCUCUCUGACUUAUAUACAGUAUGUCAUGCACUUUUUUGUACUAUAGGAAAUAUAUUUACAAUUGCAGUUCAUACACAUUAGUCUGUAUAACUGAUUUCCUAUGUGUACAUAUUUUAGCCUUUUACCCUAAAAUUAGAGAAGUAGAAAAGAUAAUUUAUUCAACUGUAACAAUACUGCGCGUUUUUCCUCUGUGUCUGUUUGAGAGCAGCAUCACUAAGUGUAUCAUUACAUAUGAAUGUGCUAACCUCUCAAUUUAAAUACUAAUGACAGAUAUUGUUACUCAUUUCUGUUGACUGUUUGCAGACAUGGAUCUGAGUUAAUUGCUGGCAUAAAUGUGCAAUUCUAUUUACAUGAAUGAAGUCGCACCUGUUCUCAUGGGUGGUGAAUUUAGGCCACUAUGAUGAAACAUUCCAGGCAAUUUUUCCUCCAUACUGUUUACUGCAUUUUCUAAUUCCAAACUACAUUUUGAUCAAGAUGAAGUAUAAUUAAGAUGUAGCAAUUCUAUGACACUGUACAAGAGUUCUAAAAGGAAAGCCUUUAAUUGUCCUCAGCAGUCAUACAGAUGACUGUUUCAUACCAUUAUGUGUCUUAAGGUUUUAUUUUUGACAUUCCUAGAUCUACUUUACUGUCUAAACAAGUAACUUGGAACAGUUUUUUU